CACUGAAAGGAAAAAUAACAGAAAAUCUGUCAAAUCAACCAAACUUUUUCCUUCACAGGCUCUUCCAAUUCCUGAGGGGCGAGGGCUAUCAGGCCCUCAGUAUUUGCUACAGUUUAUUCUCAUGGCAAUUAUUUAAUUGUGGCCCCCCAUUUUGUGAUCAAAUUCAAAGCCAAGCCUGAUGGUGAGAGUUCUUCAUUUCGUCUUCGAACUCUUCACUCCAUGUUAAUCAAGAGAAGCAUCACAGAAGGACAGAUCCAGUAAAAUCAAUGGCUUCAAGUAGCAGAGCAGCACAUUCGCACCACCAAACGGUGAAUACGACCGAAUCAAUGAGCAAGGCUAUUGCUCAGUACACGAUGGAUGCACGGCUCCACGCUGUUUUCGAGCAGUCCGGCGAGUCGGGUAAGUCGUUCGAUUACUCACAGUCGGUCAGAACCACCAACCAAUCCGUGCCAGAGCAGGAAAUCACCGGUUACCUCUCGAAAAUUCAACGUGGCGGCCAUAUCCAACCGUUUGGCUGUAUGAUUGCCGUAGAUGAACCAACUUUUCGAGUUAUUGCCUACAGCGAGAACGCUCGCGAGAUGCUCGGUUUAACUCCCCAGUCAGUCCCCACGCUCGAAAAACCCGAGAUUCUCACAAUUGGCACAGAUGUGCGCAGCCUCUUCACGCCUUCCUGCGGGAUUUUGCUAGAGAAAGCAUUUGGUGCUCGAGAAAUUACUUUACUGAACCCGAUUUGGAUUCACUCCAAGAAUUCCGGCAAACCCUUUUAUGCAAUUCUGCAUAGGAUAGAUGUGGGAAUCGUGAUUGAUUUGGAGCCUUAUAUUGGUACAGAGGACCCUGCUUUGUCAAUUGCAGGGGCUGUACAGUCACAGAAGCUAGCGGUUCUUGCUAUUUCGCAGUUACAGUCACUUCAAGGCGGUGAUAUUAAGCUUCUCUGUGAUACUGUUGUGGAGAGUGUCAGGGAUCUUACUGGCUACGAUAGGGUUAUGGUGUAUAAGUUUCAUGAAGAUGAGCACGGUGAGGUUGUGGCUGAGAGCAAGAGGCCUGACUUGGAGCCUUAUAUUGGGCUGCAUUAUCCAGCGACAGAUAUUCCUCAGGCAUCAAGGUUCUUGUUCAAGCAGAACAGAGUGAGAACAAUUGUGGAUUGCCAUGCCUUGCCUGUUCGUGUAAUUCAGGAUGAUGGACUUAUGCAGCCUCUGUGUUUGGUUGGCUCAACGCUGCGUGCUCCUCAUGGUUGUCAUGCUCAAUAUAUGGAGAAUAUGGGGUCAAUGGCAUCAUUAGCCAUGGCAGUUGUAAUCAAUGGAAAUGAUGAGGAAGUUAUUGGUGGAAGAAAUACAACGAGGCUUUGGGGUUUAGUGGUUUGCCACCACACCUCUGCUAGAUGCAUUCCGUUUCCUCUUCGCUAUGCUUGUGAGUUUCUAAUGCAGGCAUUUGGACUCCAACUGAACAUGGAACUGCAAUUGGCGGCACAGUUGAUGGAGAAACAUGUUUUGAAAACUCGGACGCUCUUGUGUGAUAUGCUUCUUCGUGACUCACCGACUGGCAUUGUUACUCAAAGCCCCAGCAUAAUGGACCUUGUGAAAUGUGAUGGGGCGGCACUUCAUUACCAAGGCAAUUAUUACCCAUUAGGAGUGACCCCGACUGAGGCUCAGAUAAAGGAUAUUGUGGGGUGGUUGUUGGAUUUUCAUGGAGAUUCAACGGGUUUAAGUACAGAUAGUUUGGCUGAUGCAGGUUACCCCGGGGCAGCCUUGCUUGGUGAUGCCGUUUGUGGUAUGGCUGUUGCUUAUAUUACUAAUAGGGAUUUUCUUUUCUGGUUCCGAUCACAUACAGCAAAAGAGAUUAAAUGGGGUGGUGCAAAGCAUCAUCCUGAGGACAAGGAUGAUGGACAGAGAAUGCAUCCCCGUUCUUCGUUCAAAGCUUUCUUGGAAGUGGUAAAGAGCAGGAGUUUGCCAUGGGAGAAUGGAGAAAUGGACGCCAUCCACUCUUUGCAGCUGAUUUUGCGAGACUCAUUUAAGAAUGCUGAAGCUAGCAAUUCCAAGGCUGUUGUACAACCCCAGGUUGGGGAGCAGGAGUUGCAAGGAAUGGAUGAGCUCAGCUCGGUGGCUAGAGAAAUGGUGAGGUUGAUAGAGACUGCCACUGCACCUAUCUUUGCCGUAGAUACUGAUGGCUGUGUAAAUGGGUGGAAUGCAAAGACUGCUGAGUUGACGGGGCUCUCAAUAGAGGAAGCUAUGGGAAAAUCCUUGGUUCAUGAUCUUGUGUACAAGGAAUACCAAGAGGCUGUUGACAAAUUGCUUUCCCGUGCUUUAAGAGGUGAAGAAGAUAAGAAUGUAGAGAUAAAAUUGCGGACAUUUGGUUCAGAAAAUGGUAACAAGGCUGUUUAUGUGGUGGUCAAUGCUUGCACUAGCAAGGAUUACACGAACAAUAUUGUUGGAGUUUGCUUUGUCGGCCAGGAUGUUACUGGUCAAAAAAUCGUGAUGGACAAAUUCAUCAACAUUCAAGGUGAUUACAAGGCUAUAGUUCAUAGCCCAAACCCUUUGAUACCUCCAAUAUUUACUUGUGACGAAAAUACAUGUUGCUUGGAAUGGAACACUGCAAUGGAAAAGCUCACAGGAUGGACCAGAGACGAAAUCAUCGGGAAGAUGUUGGUUGGGGAGGUUUUUGGAAGUUGCUGUCGGCUCAAAGGUUCAGAUGCUUUGACAAAAUUCAUGAUUAUCUUGCACAGUGCAAUUGGAGGGCAGGAUACAGAUAUGAAUGACUUUUCUUUCUUUGACCGUAAUGGAAAAUUUGUGCAAUCUCUCCUGACUGCAAAUAAAAGGGUCAAUAUGGAAGGGGCGAUUAUUGGAGCAUUCUGUUUCUUGCAAAUUGCAAGUCCCGAGUUGCAGCAAGCUCUGAGAGUCCAGAAGCAACAAGAGAAAAAACGCUUUGCAAGGACGAAAGAGUUGGCUUACAUUUGCCAGGAAAUAAAAAAUCCUUUAAGUGGCAUAUGCUUUACUAGUUCACUUUUGAUGGCUACGAAGUUGACUGAAGAUCAAAAGCAGUUGCUUGAGAGUAGUACUGCUUGUGAGAAGCAGAUGUUGAAAAUUAUUCAGGAUGUUGAUCUCCAGAGCAUUGACGAUGGUUCACUGGAGCUUGAGAAGUCUGAAUUCCUACUUGAGAGUGUCAUAAAUGCUGUUGUUAGCCAAGUGAUGAUCUUGCUAAGGGAACGAGGUCUACAAUUAAUUCGUAAUAUUCCAGAGGAAGUCAAAACUCUAGCUGUUUAUGGUGAUCAAGUAAGAACUCAACAGGUUUUGGCUGAUUUUUUGUUAAAUAUGGUGCGGUAUGCUCCGACACCCGAGGGUUGGGUAGAGAUUCAUGUUUGUCCAACAUUGAAGCAAACCUCUCCUGGGCUGACUCUUGUGCACACUGAAUUCAGUAACUUUGCCAAGUGAUGUUUAAGAUGGUUGAAGAAGGCUGAUCAGAGCCUCCAGAGAAAAAUAUGAUUCUGAAGUUGGGAAUUAAACGAUGGUAUGCCCUGGUGAAGGUCUUCCUCCACAGUUGGUUCAAGACAUGUUUCAUAGCAGCCAAUGGAUGACUCAAGAAGGCUUAGGGUUGAGUAUGUGCAGGAAAAUUUUAAGGCUCAUGAAUGGUGACGUUCAAUGCAUUAGAGAGUCCGAGAGAUGCUAUUUCUUAGUUAUCCUCGAACUUCCUAUGUCUCGAGGAGGGUCAAAGAGCAUAGACACAGCUUAGCGAAAGUUUAAUUUUACCAAGCUAAGUCGUCUCUCAGAAUUCAACCCAAGGUAGUUGGCUGGUACCCUGAUGAAUCUUCCAAAAGUUUGUUACAAGGUCUACAUAUUGCACAACAUCUACCCGAUUUUCCACAGGGCAUUGUAGAUUUUGUCCAUAAGGGAAUGCCUUUUUUUGGGUGGAUACAAUUAAUAUCACCUUCCUACUUGUACCACGGAAAUCAUCGACUGUUUUCACCAUGGACAAGCCUUAAAAUCUUCCUUCGCUUGUCUUGUUUGUUAGCAAUACUGAUGCAAUGGCGGCUGAGAAGAACUAAGUUGGAUACUACAUUGUUGUAGAAAUUUCCACGGAGUAAAGUGGCUGCAAUUGUUGGCUGCUUGCUGGAUUGACUUGUAACUUUUCCCACUGUAAGCAUCUGUUUUUGGCCUACAUAAAUAUAUACUACACCAUAUCUUCGUAAGUUUGAAGUUUCUGCGACAAUUCUAACAUAAGUGCCUGCUGGUCAGUUUAUGUUUUGUGUGUGUGUGAUAUAUCUGACUGUUUCGUUCUGGUUGUUUGAUACUAGUGUAACAACGACAUUCUGAUAAUCUACUUAUACGUUUCUCUCGGCAUUCAUCAUGUAUUCUGUAAUAAAGUAUGGUCUCUUUGUUAA